GUUUUUAUUUCUGUAUCGCAUCGCGGUGAGUUUCUAUUUCUUGGUAAUUCGGUUCGGUGAAAUGGUAAACAAAUUAUUGAAAUUUAUUUAUUUGAUGUGUAUAACAUUUCAUUAAUGCAAUUUUCUGUCUUUUCAGACUAUUAAUUACAAGCACAGCAUCAUCAACGGUGAUUGAAAGAACUACUGCAAUCCCUGCGGUUUUUUUCUUAGUAAAUGCGUUCUGGUCGUGACCAAGGGUGAUCUCCCAAAUCGGCUGGGAAUAAGGCUAUUGUUGCAAAACAAAGCGCCGCAACCACUGCUGGGGUAAAUAUGUUCCAGCAGAACUGCCCACCGCCGUCGGUGUAAUGAUUUCGAUAGCUGAACAAACGCCAUCUCAUGGGCAUUCCCACAGCUUGCCGACACUAGCUAUUAUAUCACGUGUGAAUGCAACUGCGGCUAAAUUUGGUUAUUAACAGUGCCAUAGUACCAUGUCAUUGGCAAAAACACUAAGGGCUGCUGGCACAUAAAGGUUGUAAAGUUUUCGGUAUCGAUGAACUUACUCCAAGAAGACGAUGGCCGAAAACAUAUGAUGAAACAUCUUCUGGCAUGCCUUUGACAAUCGUUAAGUCAGACAGAGGCUUCACAUACGAUAUUUCACACAUGGCAGGAAUUCGUUAGCGGACAGAGCACACAUUUACAAAAUAUUUAUAGUUUGCAGAACGUGCAUACAUAUUCGAUUCCGAUUUUAUGUGUCUAUUACGGAGGACAACCGAACUUCAGUUGGUUGGCCAGUGGCUGAAAUGGUAUUACCGAUGGCAACUAGCAACUGAAAGCUGGCAACUAAGUUUCUAUAUUGGCAACUGCAUUUUUGUGGCUGCCGGAAAAUUUUUAUUGAGAUACUUUAUUUCUUUUUUUAACUUUUGUUUUUAAAUUGUACCACCUUGAACUUUAUGAAACUUAAUUAUUGCUAUUGCUAU